rnacentral:rRNA from 1 species
CACGUAGGGGGCGAGCGUUGUCCGGAUUUAUUGGGCGUAAAGGGCUCGUAGGCGGCUCAGUAAGUCGGGUGUGAAACCUCCAGGCUCAACCUGGAGACGCCACUCGAUACUGCUGUGGCUAGAGUCCGGUAGGGGAGCAUGGAAUUCCUGGUGUAGCGGUGAGAUGCGCAGAUAUCAGGAGGAACCCCGGUGGCGAAGGCGGGUCUCUGGGCCGUAACUGACGCUGAGGAGCGAAAGCAUGGGGAGCGAACAGG